AACGUAGGACGCAAGCGUCACGUCGAGUUACUGGGCGUAAAGCGCGGGCAGGCGGCUCGAUGCGUCUGAUGUGAAAUCUCCUCGCUCAACGGGGAGAGGCCAUUGGAAACGGUCGGGCUGGAGGGCAGUAGAGGCAGGCGGAAUUCCGGGUGGAGUGGUGAAAUGCGUAGAGAUCCGGAGGAACACCAGAGGCGAAGGCGGCCUGCUGGGCUGCACCUGACGCUGAACCGCGAAAGCCAGGGGAGCGAACGGGAU
rnacentral:rRNA from 1 species